rnacentral:rRNA from 1 species
GAUGAACGCUGGCGGCGUGCCUAAUACAUGCAAGUCGAGCGAACAGACGAGGAGCUUGCUCCUCUGACGUUAGCGGCGGACGGGUGCGUAACACGUGGAUAACCUACCUAUAAGACUGGGAUAACUUCGGGAAACCGGAGCUAAUACCGGAUAAUAUAUUGAACCGCAUGGUUCAAUAGUGAAGGACGGUUUUGCUGUCACUUAUAGAUGGAUCCGCGCCGCAUUAGCUAGUUGGUAAGGUAACGGCUUACCAAGGCAACGAUGCGUAGCCGACCUGAGAGGGUGAUCGGCCACCCUGGACCUGAGACACGGUCCAGACUCCUACGGGAGGCAGCAGUAGGGAAUCUUCCGCAAUGGGCGAAAGCUUGACGGAGCAACGCCGCGUGAGUGAUGAAGGUCUUCGGAUCGUAAAACUCUGUUAUUAGGGAAGAACAAAUGUGUAAGUAACUAUGCACGUCUGGACGGUACCUAAGCAGAAAGCCACGGCUAACUACGU